GUUGAACUACUUGUUCUUUAUUAGAGAACUAGAGGAACCAGGCCCAUAUGUUUGAUGGCAACUUGACAAAGCUCUAUUAAGAGCUCACACCUAUGAAUACAGUGUGGUUUGCCAGAAAAGGGGCAUUCAGUUUCCGAGCCAAAUAUAGUACACUGAAGCACUAAGAUGUAUGAACUGAAUCUUGACCUGCUGGUAUGUAAACUUUUCAAAGUUCCCAAAUUUGAAGACAGGUUGGACAUUUUUCUAGUGGAGUUCCUGGACCCAAAGUUAUUUUUUAUGAAGCAGUUUUGUAAAAUUUAUGAUGUGAGGUUACAAUAUGCCUUUUUCUUGUGAUUCAUCCUUCUUGCAAGCUUCUAUGUAGCAAGCCGGCAAAAGGCAGUGGAAGGGACUUCUGGGGACGGUCCUGUCAUUUCCUGCAGUAUUUUCGUGAGUCAUUCAGCAUCGGUCUCUUCCCUACUCCUAUUGUCUGGCUGGAGAGAAGCACCCUUUCAUAGCUCUACCCCUUUCUUUUAUGGAUGGAGAAAAUGAGGCCCAGAAAAAUAAAUGGAUUUGUCCAAGAUAACCCUGAUUGUUUAAUCAGGGUGUUGCAGAGCUCACAUCCGCUGGUCAUGUGUUUGCUGGAGGACUCAACUUUUGGAGUCUCUGAUUUUUAUUUGUAAAAAAGAGGUAGUAGUAUAGUUCUUGAAGAUUCAUCUUACAGAAGUAAAUUGAUGGAAAAACUACUUUAUUAAGGCAUAAUUGACAUAAAAUAAACAGCAUGCACUUAAAGUGUACAAUUUGAUAAGCAUUGACUUAUGUGUACAUCCAUGAAACUGUCACUACAAUCAAGAUGGCAAACAGCCCUCAUCCCCAAGAGGUUCCCUGUGCCCCUUGUCAUCCUUCCCUGCAUUCCUCCCUCUCUUCCUCCCUAGACAAUCACUGAUCUGCUUAGUUUACAUUUUCUGGAGUUUUAUAUAGUGGAAUCACACAGAUUUUAUUCUUUUUUGUAUGACUUCUUUUACUCAACAUAAUUGUUUUGACAUUCAUUCUUUAUAUGGAAUGAAUCAAUAUUUAUUCUUUUUAUUUUUGAGUAGGAUUUUAAGGUAUGGAUACAUCUCAACUUGCUUAUUCAU
rnacentral:lncRNA from 1 species